CACAUGUCAUUCCCGUUUCCUUCUUCCUCUUCCUCCUCCCUUCCUCUCCCUUCUCUCUCUCUCCCAUCUCUCUUCGUCUUCGUCUGCAGGCAGCGGCGGGCGCUCGAGGGUCCAAGCGGCCGCGGCGGCGAGCGGGAGGGGAGGCAGCAACCCGGCGGCGGCUCGGCGGCAGCAGCGGCGUAGACGGAAGAGGGAGCCAUGAAGGACUCGAGGAAGGAGAAGAGCAUGACCAAUUCGUCCUCCAAGGGCUCGCCGCUGCCGCCGUCCCCGACGCGACGACGAGGCCCACUGUGGUGGCCGCGGUCGCCGCAUUCCUCGAGUCCAGUAGCUUCCCAUGCGCGCUCACGACGCUCCAGUCUGAGGCCAAGCUCGAGUUACGGCGCUAUGGCUCGUGCUGCGCCUUGCCAUUUUCGGCACGCCGUGAAAUGAGAAGAUUUCGCGUGUUCGCAGGUUGAUUCAUGGCGGGCGUCGCCGGUGAGCCUGGAAGAGUUGAUUUCCAUAUUCUUGGACUCGAGAAAUUCUCCCAGUGGGUCACACGCCGCUGCUGCCGCCGAGCCACCGCCUCCCUUCCCGCUCGCCACCGCGGCCUCUUGGACCCUCGAGCGCCCGCCGCCGAUUUUCUCCCUGCAGACAAGACGAAGAGAAAUGGGAGAAAGAGAAAGAGAGAGAAUGGAGAAAAAGGAAGAGGAAGAAGGAAACAGGAAUGACAUGUGGGCCAUACAUGUCAGUGGGUCCCACAUUAUUUUAGUGCGAAUGACAAAUGGGCCCAGCACAUAUUUCUUUAAUUCUAGAACACAAACACCACGUCAACUCCACAUGGACCGAAAACUGAGUCAACAUCAUCAUGUAGGCGCCAUGUUAGCGAAACCGCCCUCCAAAACCAUCAAGAGAGUCAGAUUGUACCGGUUUUAAGAGUUGGAGGUCAAGAUAUCCAGUUUUGUGGUUUAGGGUCACGGAUUAGAUUUCAAUCACUUUUGAGGGUCACAAAGUGAACUUAUUUCCGAUGAGAAAUGUUUCAGAAUAACUCUACAUUACCUUCCUCAACUCAUGCGCAUGGUUGAAUCGCAUACUUCAACCGCAAAAUUGGGUAUAUCUCAUCCUCCAACUCACAAAACCG